rnacentral:lncRNA from 1 species
GGGUGGAACAUUUCCUGAGGAUUCCUCGGGGCUCCUGGGUUCGGGCAAGGGGUGUGUUUGGUGGCCUUGCCCGGAUGAAGGGCCCCAUGAGGAGGCCCCUGCCUCACUGUCCUCCUGUGGCCCUGUGCAGAGGCAGAUCCAGGAGGAGCCGUUGGAUUCGCUCUCAACCUCCGUCCGCCAGCAGGCCAUGGAGACACUGGCCCAACUGAGGUGCCCACACCCUCCCACCCCUGUGUCCCGGGGCACCCCCCACCCUCCGCUGGUGUCCACUGCCUUCAUCACCAGGCACCUUGCCCUGUCUCUGCAGCCACAUGAGGCCGGUGCUGGGUGUGCAGGACCGGGUACAGCUGGUGAGCACGUGCGUGCACAGCGUGUUCUCGCUGCCCUCGGUGCAGGCCAUGCAGGAGCAGGACCAGGCCAAGGCCGAGGCCAUCCAGACGCUUUACCACCAGACCCUGGAAGCCCUGCAGACCCUGCUCAAUGCCCUCUUUAUUGAAGACCCCACUCCUGCCGGACUCAAGAGCAUCUUGCAGGUGCAGGGCUUGGAGGCUGGGGAGUGAGGGGCAGAGGGCAGAGGGAAACAGGAAAGGCUCAAGAGCAGUAGGAGCUGGGCCCAGAGGAGUGAUGCGAGCUCAGGAUGUCAUCCAGUGCAGCACC